AGGUUCGACAUAUUCAAUGAAAUUAAAACGAUACAGAAAAAAUUAACAUGGUCCUAUGGAAAGAUGACGCGUACAAAUCAAAAGAAUAUCCAAAUUUUU
rnacentral:snRNA from 1 species